rnacentral:rRNA from 1 species
GACGAACGCUGGCGGCGUGCCUAAUACAUGCAAGUCGAGCGAGACUCUUCGGAGUCUAGCGGCGGACGGGUGAGUAACACGUGGGCAACCUGCCUGUAAGACUGGGAUAACACCGGGAAACCGGUGCUAAUACCGGAUAAUCCUUUUUCUCUCAUGAGGAAAAGCUGAAAGUCGGUUUCGGCUGACACUUACAGAUCGGCCCGCGGCGCAUUAGCUAGUUGGUGAGGUAACGGCUCACCAAGGCGACGAUGCUGAGCCGACCUGAGAGGGUGAUCGGCCACACUGGGACUGAGACACGGCCCAGACUCCUACGGGAGGCAGCAGUAGGGAAUCUUCCACAAUGGACGAAAGUCUGAUGGAGCAACGCCGCGUGAGCGAUGAAGGCCUUCGGGUCGUAAAGCUCUGUUGUUAGGGAAGAACAAGUACCGGAGUAACUGCCGGUACCUUGACGGUACCUAACCAGAAAGCCACGGCUAACUACGUGCCAGCAGCCGCAGUAACAC